GAUGAAGAACGCAGCGAAAUGCGAUAAGUAGUGUGAAUUGCAGAAUUCAGUGAAUCAUCGAAUCUUUGAACGCACAUUGCGCCUCCUGGUAUUCCGGGAGGCAUGCCUGUUCGAGCGUCAUUAAAAUCACUCAAGCUUAGGUUUACCUAUUGCUUGGUCUUGGAGAUGGAAGCCAAUUUAUUGGAAUCCUCUUCGAAAUUCAAUGGCGAAGACCCUUGCUCUCCCAAGUGUAGUAAUAACUUAUGUCACUGAAGGAAGCGAGAAAUCUUCUGCCGUAACCCCCAUAUUUUCUAUGAUUGACCUCGGAUCAGGCAGGGAUACCCGCUGAACUUAAGCAUAUCAAUAAGCGGAGGA
rnacentral:misc_RNA from 1 species